UUAAAGGGAAAAUAGGUGGAAAUUCAAAAAUCAAGUGAAAAAAAGGUGGUGAGUCAAUUGUUUCGGGUAAGAGACUGCACCCGAGGGCGGAAGAUAGGAGUAUUUCUACUCCUAAUACUAGGGGGUUCCGUGGACCAGCCUAUUAGAGGGGCACGGUAA
rnacentral:sRNA from 1 species